rnacentral:rRNA from 1 species
GACGACGCUGGCGGCGCGCUUAACACAUGCAAGUCGUGCGGUGUCGAAGGCAAGUCUUACGACAAGCCUUCGACACAGCGGCGAACGGGUGAGUAACACGUGAGUAGCUGUCCUAAGGGAGGGGGAUAACGCCUGGAAACGGGUGCUAACACCCAUAUGCCUCGCAAGAGGUGAAAGUGUACUUGCUACAGCCUUAGGGUGUGCUCGCGGCCUAUCAGCUAGUUGGUGAGGUAACGGCUCACCAAGGCUAAGACGGGUAGCCGGCCUGAGAGGGUGUACGGCCACACUGGAAUUGAGAUACGGUCCAGACUCCUACGGGAGGCAGCAGUGGGGAAUCUUGGGCAAUGGGCGAAAGCCUGACCCAGCGACGCCGCGUUGGGGAUGAAGCCCGUUCGGGGCGUAAACCCAUGUUGUAGGGGACGAAGAAAGUGACGGUACCCUACGAGAAAGCCCCGGCCAACUACGUG